rnacentral:rRNA from 1 species
GACGAACGCUGGCGGCGUGCUUAACACAUGCAAGUCGAACGGUAAGGCCCUUCGGGGUACACGAGUGGCGAACGGGUGAGUAACACGUGGGUGAUCUGCCCUGCACUUCGGGAUAAGCCUGGGAAACUGGGUCUAAUACCGGAUAGGACCACUGCCUGCAUGGGUGGUGGUGGAAAGAUUUUGUGGUGUGGGAUGGGCCCGCGGCCUAUCAGCUUGUGGGGGGGGUGAUGGCCUACCAAGGCGACGACGGGUAGCCGGCCUGAGAGGGUGACCGGCCACACUGGGACUGAGAUACGGCCCAGAAUCCUACGGGAGGCAGAAGUGGGGAAUAUUGCACAAUGGGCGCAAGCCUGAUGCAGCGACGCCGCGUGAGGGAUGACGGCCUUCGGGUUGUAAACCUCUUUCAGCACCGACGAAGCGCAAGUGACGGUAGGUGCAGAAGAAGGACCGGCCAACUACGUGCCAGCAGCCGCCGUAAAAC